UACGGAGGGAGCUAGCGUUGUUCGGAAAUACUGGGCGUAAAGCGCACGUAGGCGGCGCAGCAAGUCAGGGGUGAAAUCCCGGGGCUCAACCCCGGAACUGCCCUUGAAACUGCAGUGCUAGAAUUCUGGAGAGGCGAGUGGAAUUCCGAGUGUAGAGGUGAAAUUCGUAGAUAUUCGCAAGAACACCAGUGGCGAAGGCGGCUCACUGGCCCGAUACUGACGCUGAGGCACGAAAGCGUGGGGAGCAAACAGG
rnacentral:rRNA from 1 species